AGUGCUCGCCUAAAGGUGGAGAACGAGGAGUAGAGGAGCCGCAGGCCAGAGCCUGUGAGCAGGUCGUUUUCACGUUAGGGCUCGGAGGUCCUCAGAAAGAUGAGGUUCCAGACGAGAAAUCCGCCUGAGGUCACAGAUCCAGACCUACAGAUAAAAAACAUUAUUUAAUCUAUCUGGGAUUUACUCCGGCUUAUGAUUUGAGGGCCUUCUCACCUUCUGAAGAAUGGCUUCUGUUUGGCAGAGAUUGGGUUUUUAUGCCUCUCUUCUGAAAAGACAGCUAAAUGGUGGGCCAGAUGUCAUCAAGUGGGAAAGGAGAGUAAUUCCCGGAUGUACCAGAAGCAUCUACAGUGCCACGGGAAAGUGGACAAAAGAGUAUACAUUGCAGACAAGAAAGGAUGUUGAGAAAUGGUGGCAUCAACGAAUAAAAGAACAGGCCUCCAAAAUUUCAGAAGCUGAUAAAUCGAAGCCAAAAUUUUACGUGCUUUCCAUGUUCCCUUAUCCUUCUGGUAAGCUGCACAUGGGCCAUGUGCGUGUCUACACCAUCAGCGACACCAUAGCACGGUUCC
rnacentral:lncRNA from 1 species